AUUGAACGCUGGCGGCAGGCCUAACACAUGAAAGUCGAGCGAGCGGCGGACGGGUGAGUAAUGUCUGGGAAACUGCCUGAUGGAGGGGGAUAACUACGGGAAACGGUAGCUAAUAACGCAUACCAUCCGUGGUGCCCAGAUGGGAUUAGCUAGUGGGGGGGGUAAUGGCGCACCUAGGCGACGAUCCCGAGCUGGUCUGAGAGGAUGACCCGCCACACUGGAACUGAGACACGGUCCAGACUCCUACGGGAGGCAGCAGUGGGGAAUCUUUGUCAAUGGGCGCAAGCCUGAUGCAGCCAUGCCGCGGGUAUGAAGAAGGCCUUCGGGUUGUAAAGUACUUUCAGCGGGGAGGCGUUACCCGCAGAAGAAGCACCGGCUAACUCCGUGCCAGCAGCCGCGGUAAUAC
rnacentral:rRNA from 1 species